rnacentral:rRNA from 1 species
ACGGGAGGCAGCAGUGGGGAAUAUUGCACAAUGGGGGAAACCCUGAUGCAGCGAUGCCGCGUGGAGGAAGAAGGUUUUCGGAUUGUAAACUCCUGUCUUAAAGGACGAUAAUGACGGUACUUUAGGAGGAAGCUCCGGCUAACUACGUGCCAGCAGCCGCGGUAAUACGUAGGGAGCGAGCGUUGUCCGGAAUUACUGGGUGUAAAGGGAGCGUAGGCGGGAUUGCAAGUCAGAUGUGAAAACUAUGGGCUUAACCCAUAGACUGCAUUUGAAACUGUAGUUCUUGAGUGAAGUAGAGGUAAGCGGAAUUCCUGGUGUAGCGGUGAAAUGCGUAGAUAUCAGGAGGAACACCGGUGGCGAAGGCGGCUUACUGGACGGUAACUGACGUUGAGGCUCGAAAGCGUGGGGAGCAAACAGGAUUAGAUACCCUGGUA